AGUGUCCACAUUUUUCAUAAAACUGAAUCUAUUCCCUCCUGACCUGCUGAGCUUCUCCAGCAUUUUGUGUGUGUUGCAUCUGCAGAACUGCUUGUGCCCCUGUCCUCACCUGGUUGGUUCAACAUCAUACCAGGAGCCUGGAACCAACCAUCUCAGACUUCCCAGCAACACCCACAUCCUGUGACUAAAAACAAACGAAGUUGCUCUUUGAAUCUCAAUGAGUAGAUAGCAAAGUCCGUAAGAAUUAGCAGACUGGGUUGGCACACAUUUGAUAUGCACUGGAUUUUCAUUAAUCUCGACUGUAAUCAAUAAGUGAAAGAUGUGAAAAGUUUAGAGGUAAUUUUAAACUAACUCACCCAUCAGGAAAGGGAUCGGAGCAAAGCACAAACAGCUGAAGGAACUCAGUGGUUGGGCUGCAUCUGUGGAGUAAAAUGGCCAGUCACCAUUUUGGAAGUGGACUGGAAACUUGAGGGGAGAUAGGCUGGAAAGUGGUAAGGGAAGAGCUGGGGCAGGAACUAGUGGGUGAGAGGUGGAUGCAGGUGAGGGGUGAUAGGCUGAAAAGAGGGAAAGGAAGGGGUGGGGCAAGAGCUAGUGGGUAUUCGGUGGAUCCAGGUGAAUAGUGAUAGGCUAGAAAGAGGAACAAGAAGGGGUGAGGGGUAGGACCUGCACAGAUACAACAGGAGCGUUCUCGCACAGGUCUGCAGAGGUUGAAAAAGCAGCAAGUUUGUUGACUGGGUCGUUGAUUGUGGAAACACAUCCGGGGUGUUCCCGUGUAGGUCCGACGAGCAGCUUGAAAAAGCAGUAAGUUUGUUGAUUGGAGUACUCUGCAGAUGCAACGGGGCAUUCCCGUGCAGGUCUGGCAAAGAUUUUCGACAGGAAACCCGGUCUCUGUAAAAAAGAGGUGCCACCUGGCCGAGUGGUGAUGGUGUCCGAGUCAGAGUAGGAAGGCUUUGGCUCAUCGAGGCUUUGGCAAGAACAGGUGAACUCGGAGACUGAAGGAGAAGAUGCAGGAGAGGAGAGAUCAUAGAAGUGGACUUGGAGUGGGGCUGGGAGUUGACAAAGCCCAAGGAAUUCAGUGGAGGAUCAGCGGAGGAGAAACUUCCACAGACCCACAUCGUGCUCACCCAACGGACGCGACAAGGACCAGCUUGACCAUUUGACGGCCAAUGGCAUUUGGACACGAUCCUUUCAGGAUGUAGGGGUGACAAGUGGAGCAGUGAUGCUGCCUGGCCUGCUGAGUUCCUCCAGCAUUUUGUGUGUGUUGCUUGGAUUUCCAGCAUCUGCAGGUUUUCUCUUGUUUGUGAAGGGAAUAGAUGGAUGUGGACUGCGUGCAGUUUAAUUGGCAGACGUAGUGGGCUGGAAGUCCUGCUCCUGUGCUACAUGUUCCGUGGUCACCGGGGACUCAGUUCCAACACUCCAUUCCCCUCAGCUUGAACUUCCAGCAUCGGCAGGUUUUCUCCUGUUUGUGACAGGGAGUGAUCACCACCUUGUCAUAGCAGUGAUGAAACUCAAGCUGAGAAGAAGCUCUGGGACCAGACCACAGGUACAAUGUCAUUUUGGCUUUGAGAAGCUCAAGGAUAUCAGUGUGAGAUCUGCCUUCACUGUUUAGCUUCAGAACAAAUACCAGGCCUGUAAGAACUCGACGAGGAUGUGUCAGCAGACACAAUGUGGGAAUGGAUUGUCUCAGUCUUCAAGAAUAGCAGCAAGGAUUGUCUAGGAUACAGAGCUGGAAAGAACAAGAUAUGGAUACAGCAGGAAAAUGGACAGCCUUAGAAGAAACUUUUAGAUGAAAUGUCAACAUGAAUUCAAGUGAAACUUCAAUGAGCAUACACAAACAAAAAGUGAAAUGACUUGUAAGAAAGGAUAAGAAUGUAUAUCGUAAACCUUUCGGAAGACGCUGAAGUAGCAGCCAGUCGAGGUGAUCGGGAAAGUAUCAACAAGGUUUCAAAUCUGGUAUGCAGAAAUUUCCAGGCCAGAUCCAGUGGUCCCAUGAGAGAUAAGAAUGGUCUGAUUUUGACAACUGAAAAAGAGCAAGAAGCAUGACAGAGUAUUUCAGCAAACUACUGAAUACACCACCACCAAAUGAAAAACCUGAUAUACAGGAGUCAGCAGAGGACCUUGACAUCGACACAGAUCCACCCAAGAAAGAAGAGAUUGUUGCUGCAAUUAAAUCAUUAAAGACCAAUAAAGCUCCAGGACAUGACAAUUUGAAUGCCGAACUGUUCAAUCUGAAUCGAAAGUUUUAGUAGCCAUCCUGCAAUCACUGUUUACUAUAAUCUGAGAACGGGGACAAGUACCAAAGAACUGGACAAAGGGAAUCACUGUAAGGAUCCCCAAGAAAGGAGCGCCAGAUGAUUGCAACAACUGGUGUGGCAUCACACUUCUGUCAGUGACCAGCAAGAUUCUCGCCAAAGUCCAAAGGAUUGCAAAUGUUGUCCAUAUGUGUUUGGGGAAAGACCAAGCUGGCUUCAGGAAGAACAAAGGCUGUGUUGACCAGAUCUUCAUGCUGUGUAACAUCAUAGAGAUAAUAAUAAUAACAUAACAUAAUCAUAACAUCAAGCAGAGUGACAGGGGCAACUGUGUGUGAAUUUAGUGGACUCUCCACAGGGAGAGCCUCUGGUAAAUUCUCAGAUCAUGUUGUAUCCUUUCCAAAAUUCUCCAGUUUAUCCAGAGUUUCUAUGCUAAUUUCACCCGCACAGCUGAGCUGCAAUUUGAGUUUUGAAGUCAAGACAGGAGUUAGGCAAUGCUGUGUGAUGUCAGCAAUAUUAUUUAACCUGGUGACUGACUGGGUUAUGAGGCAAACAAUGAAUGAUAAGCAGAGAGGCAUUAAGUGGAUGAUCUCGCAUUACUAUCACGUACAUACCAGCACAUGCAAGGGAAAACUCCGUGCUUGUGUACCUUUAGUGGACGCUGGAUGGAGUCAGCUAGAGAAAGACUGAGACCAUAACCCUCAGAGUCUCCUCUUCCCAUCAAGGCAUAUGGCAUUGACUUGCCCAGCACCGGCAGAUUCACCUAUCCAGGCAGCAUCAUUCAGCAGAAUGGUGGGAACAAGGAUGACAUGAAGUGCAGACUCUUUCAGAUCAAUGAGCAACGUAUGGGGAUUAACCAAGUAUAGCAUCCACGCCAAGGUGAAGCUGUACCAGAUCGGUGUUCUGUCCACAGACUUGUACACAUCAGAAAUCUGGCACAUGACAGAGAAUGACUUUGCCAAGCUGUCAUCAUUCCACACCAUGAGCCUCCAGAAGAUCCAUUGUAUUUUCUGGCCAAGAAAGAUCUUCAACCAUGCCCUACUCCUUCAGUGUCACCAAGAGGUCAUGGCCACAAUCAUCAUGAGGAAACAUUGGACAUGGAUUGGGUACAUGAUGAGAAGAGAGGCCAACUCCGUCAGCACGAUGACACUUCGUUGGACCCCUGAAGGGUGGAGGAAAUGUGAGAGACCAAAGACAACUUGCAGAAACGAGGAUCCUGAACCACACAAUAUGGCCAAGGACAGACAGAUAGAGGACCUUCAAAGAGCCAGUGGUGUAAUCCAGGCAGCAUCUAUGAAAAAGAGUAUAGUCAAUGUUUCAUGCCAAGACCCUUCAUCAGGACUGGAGAAAAAAGGAUGAGGAGUCACAAUUAGAAGGUGGAAGGAAGGGAGGGAGAAACACAAGGUGAUAGGUGAAACUGGGAAGGCAGGGGUGAAGUAAAGAGCCGGGAAGUUGAUUGGUGAAAGAGACACAGGGCUGGAGAAGGGGCAAUCUAAUAAGAGAGGAUAGAAGGCCUUACAAGAAAGAAAAAGGGGGAGGAGCACCAGAGGGAGGUGAUAGGCAGGCAAGAAGAUAUGGUGAAAGAGGAAAAAUGGAAUGGGGAAUAGAGAAGUGGGGGGGGGGAGGGCAUUACCAGAAGUUCUAGAAAGCAAUGUUUAUGCCAUCAGGUUGGAGGCUACCCAGAUGGAAUAUAAGGUGUUGCUCUUCUAACCUGAGUGUGGCCCCAUUGUGACAGGCCUUGGCUGGACAUGUUGGAAUGGGAAGUGGAAUUAAAUUGGGUGGCCACUGGGAGAUCCUGCUUUUUCUGAUGGAUUUAGAGUUGGUACUCAGCAAAGCGGUCUCCCAGUCUACAUUGAGAAUUACCGAUAUACAAGAAGCCACACCAGGAGCACCGGUACAGUAGAUGACCCCAACAGGCUCGCAGGUGAAGUGUCACCUCAUCUAGAAGAACUGUUUGAGCCCUGAAUGGUAGUGAGGGAGGAAGUCUAGGGACAAGUGUAGCACUUGUUCUGCUUACAAGGAUAAGUGCCAGGAGGGAGAUGAGUGGGGAGGAAUGAAUGGACAAGAGGGUCGCGUAGGGAGAGAUCCCUGUGGAACGCAAAAGGUGGGGGGAGGUAUGCUUGGUGGCUGAAUCCCAUUGGAGAUAGCAGAAGUUAUGGAGAAUUAUGUGCUGGAGGUGGAGGCUGGUGGGGUGGUAGAUGAGGACUAGAGGAACCCUCUCCCUGGUGGGGUGGUGGGACAAUGGGGUAAGAGCAGAGUUGUGUGAAAUGGAAGAGAUGUGGUUGAGGAAGGGAAGCCCUUUUCUUUGGAGAAGGAAGACAUAUCCUUCGUUCUGGAAUGAAAAACCCUCAUCCUGUUGGCAGAUGCGGCGCUGGCGGAGGAAUUGCGGGAAAGGGAAGACAUUUUUACAAGUAACAGGGCGGAAAGAGGUAUAAUCCAAGUAGCUGUGAGAGUCAUUGGGUUUUUAAUAGACAUUAGGAGAUAAGCUGACUCCAGAGAUAGGAACAGAGAGAUCGGGAAAGGGGAGGGUGACGCCGGAAAAGGUCAGCGGUGCCGAUGGAGAGUCCUCGCCUAAGAAGUAGGCACGGAGACCGAGGUGGCGGAAGAACAGCUCAGCGCCACGGUGGGCACGGAACUCGCUGAGGUGUGGGCGCAGGGAGAUAAAGGUGAGGCCCUUACUGAGGACAGAACGUCCUACCCCUUCGAGGGGAAGGUCAGAGGAAUGGUGAAAACCGGCACGGAUGAGAGCUGCGAUCGGAGGGAGGGGGAAGAGGUUUGGUAGUAUUAGAGGAGAGGGGGAGAGUUGGGGAGUCCAGGGAAGGAGAGGAAGAUGGAGUCUCCGAGCGAUGGGACCGGCGAGACACGGGAUUACGGAGUGGUGGGGGUGCAGGGAGGAGCGGAAGACGGGAGACGGGCUCCGGCGGCAACCGGGAGGCGUUCUCGGUCAAUGCUGGAGUCGGCAGUAGCAGGGGUCGCGGUCUGGAGUCGCCCGUGCCUGCCGGUGUUGGGGACAGCGGGUCCUGAGGUCUGUAGACCAGCGUUCUACCGAUCCUUGCAGGACGUGAGAAUGUCGGCGAUUGAAAGCGUGGACCCCGCGCAGGAUAAAGUAGCGGGCAGGUCAACUGCAGGCGGCGGAGAGAGAGAGAAUCCCGGAGUUGUGGAAGCGACUGGGAAAGGGACCUUUGUAUAUGCUUCUUUUACACCCUCUCCAAAGCCUGCACGUGAAGUGACCAGAACACUCCGAGUGUCACUUGACCAAGGUCCUGCAGAAGCCCUGACGCGGCUGCUGGGUGGAGAAUGUGCAAGAGGUCUUGCUCCCGGCUUCUGGCUUCAUCACUGCCGAGACCCGUGGAGCACACACACCGAGUGCUGAGAACGGAGGAGGGACAAGGACGUAGAACUAGACAGAUCUUUGAUGUACUGGCCCUGGUUCCCAGACCCAUUGAGUCUGCUGCCACAGGAAGUUGCAGGGACACACGUCAACUGAGGGAUAGAAAGGUCUUGAGGCAAACAAAGUCCUUGCCAGAACCUCUACUCACAGUUUCGCAAUCUCAUCUCGGAGACAGAGACAAGCCAGAGGUGCUGUCAUGGUGAAUAGUUCAAGGAAGGAGACAAAUCCAUUCGUAUUGACCUUACCGUCUACCAGAAGGAAAAUCAUUACCCGGAUCUUUCUCUGCUGCCUGUCCCAAUGCCAAAGAGCAGCUCCCUGAAUUGCAGUUCGGAUCCCAUCUGGUGAAAGACAUGAUAUUCACUCUACAAUAGCGCUGAAUAAAAUGCACAGUUCUGAAUGAAAUGUCUUCUUUUUAAAGCACAUUGGUCACUGACUGUAGAUAAACAAAGACGACAAGCAAUCACUUUAUUAGGUACAACUGUUCACCCGCCCUUUAAUGCCAAUAUCUAUGGUCAAGAGGUUCCGUUGUCGUUCAAGUGUUUCUGUUUCCGUUCCAAAGUUUCAAAUCGUAGGCUGGACAGUCUUCUGAAGAUUGGACAACGUCUGUUGAGGCUGCAGGGCUUGGGCUUGUGUAUCCAGUUUUUAUAGCCCCCUACCCAUGUUGGUGUUGAAAGAAAUGAGGUGGCAGACAUUCUAGCCAGUAAUCACUUCAAAAUAAGGGUAUAAAUGUGGGGGUGCCUUUGCAUACGGGGAGGUGAAAGCCGUGAUUUAAAAAAGUCUAUUCGAACACCGUGACAAUGAAGUUGGGACAAGCUGAAGAAAGGACAGCAUUUAUAUGUAAUUCAGAGGAUGGUGGGAACUUAGCUGGAAGAUGGGUAUAAAAGUGGGAAGAAGUUAUACUUACUCAUUUACAUUUUGGACAUAGUAGGUUCAAUAAUUUCUUAUGCAGAAUUUAUCAGUAUGACAACGGGCACUUGUGAAGAAAUGAUGCAGCAUACAGUGUAUUGAUGAAUGCAGUUCCUACGAGGUGCAAAGGAAACAUCUUUGAGACAGACACAGUUUAACAUAGAAUGUUUGUUGGGAUGUCACUGCCAUGGCAAUGCAUACAAGUGCGCGUUUGACUUAAUGAAAAACGUUAGGCUUUUUGAUAUUGGGGAGGAAUUUAGUGAGCAUACUUGCUCUCUCUUUGCUCCACACUCCCACUUGUAAGGUGCAUCACUGACCCCUAAUGCCAAGCAUCCUUCUCCCUUGCCACCAAAGGAAAAAGUAAUUUAAGUGGGUGGAGUAGACGGCGUCUGUGAACAUUGUAUUUGGUAGAUCUGGACACUUUACUGAUGACACCCGACUAAAACUGCCAAUGGCAAGUCAUCAGUUUAUCAUAAAACUCCACCGGGAUUCAUAUGUCCUUUCAUAUGGUGAGGGAGGCUUGCUGUGUGUAACCUACAUGUUUAGCUGCUGAUAUUAGCCCUUCAAUAUUUGAUUGACCCUAGGCUGGAGGCGGAGUUCUGACGGCUUUCGGUGUAGUACAUUAAACACUCCUCAUUUCCAGAGAGUGUUUACUCUUUUCCGUAGACGCUGCUUGGCCUGCUAAGUUCCUCCAGCAUCAUCAUCACAGGCAGAGCUGACCAUGCACAGAGACAGACUUGUAUACACGCUGACCUAGUGAGAGGCUCAGACAUCCAUGUUCCACCUUCCUCUCCUAUCAGAUUCCAUCAACUGCAGCCCAUUGUUGAAUUGAAAUGGUCACAGGUGAGUUGAAAAUUUUGUCUUGCGUUCUGUUAUAGAACAUAGAGAUCUACAGAACAUUACAGGCCCUUUGGCCCACAAUCCAGGCAAUGUCCUUGUAGAUAUCCUCUGCACUCUCUCUAUAGUAUCCACAUCCUUCCUGUAGCGAGGUGACCAGAACUGAGCACAGUACUCCAAGUGGGGUCUAUAUAGCUGAGAUUUGUUCAUACAGAUCAAAUCAUUACACAGUGCAUUGAAAUAGUAUGAGGUAAAACUAUAACAGAGUGCAGAAUGAAGAGUGACAGGCUCAGAGAAAAUGUGGUGCAGAAAACAAUGAAGCGCAAGAUCAUAAUGAGGUGGACAGUGAGUUCGAGAGACUAUCUUAUAGGAAACCAGCAGGUCCGGCAGCAUCUAUGACAAUGAAUAAACAGUCAACAUUUUCAGCCAACAUCCUUCAUCAGGACUGGAAAGCAAGGUGGGAGAUACCAGAAUAAAAAGGUGGGGGAGAGGAAGGAGGACAAGCUAGAAGGGGAUAGGUGAACCAGAUGCUGGGAAAUGAGAAGGGCUGGAGAAGAAGAAAUCUGAACCAUAGGAGAAAAGGAAGAAGGAGGAGCACCGGGGGGUGGGGGGGGGGGGGUGGUGGUGAUAGGCAAGUGAGGAGAAGUGGUAAGAGGACCAUUUGCCAUACCAAACCAUUAUCCAUCCAGUAGAAUGCCUUCUAUACUGAAUCUACAAAUGUUGGUAAGGGUUGAAGAGGGCAUUCCAAAUUUCUUUAGCCUCCUGAGGAAUGUGAGCUUUGUUAGCUGCGGUGUUUUUGUGGUCAGAUCAAGACAGCUUAUCGGCUGUCUUAUAUCACUCCUAGAAAAUUGAAGCUCUCAACCUUCUCAUCCUCAACACUGUUGAGGCAGGGGCAUGUGCAUUGCCUCCCCCGCAUACCACCACCCCCCAGCUGAAGAUAACGACCAGCUCUUUUGUUUUGCUGACAUCGAGGGAAAAGUUGUUGUCAUGAAAUCAUGUUACAAAGCACUCAAUCUCCUUCCUAUACUCCAACUCAUUACUAUUUGAGAUAUGGCCCCAGAUGGUGGCAUCAUCUGCAAACCUGUGGAAGGACUGGGAGCAGAAUUUGCCCUCACAGUCACCAGUGUACAGGGAGUAGAGUAAGGGGGCAAGGACACAACCCUGUAGGACACCAGUGUUGGGAAUAAUUGUGGUGGAGAUGUUGCCUAGAGGCAUCUGAGGGUCAGGAAGUCAGGAUCCAGUUGCAGAGGGGAGCACUGAUUCCUAGGAUCUGGAGUUUGGUGGUGAGUUUGUUUGGAAUUUUAGUACUGAAUGCAGAGUGGUAGUCAAUAAAUAACAAGUCCCACCCAUCACCACCCAGUCUCUGUCAUGAUUUUCAUUCUGUCCUUCUUCAUCGGGGGGGGGGGGGGGGGGACCCAGGGCAAAUCUGACAGCCUCAAUGUACAAAAAUUUGUAGCACCUGUACAAAAGUAUAGCAUUUUAAAAUAUUUACAUUUUUGCCCAUUUUGGAUCACUUUAGGAAAAGUCAUCAAAUUUCGGCUAAAAAAAUGGCAUUUAGGGUGUUUUUACUGCUGUCAAAUGUCAAAAUGGGUCAAAUUUGGCCUGAACAGUAGGUAAGUGUUAAACUACUAACCAGUACAUCUCUGAGUUGUAGGAGGAAAGCAGAGCACCUGGAGGAAACACAUGCUCAUCGGGGAACGUGCAGACUAACAGCGAUGGGAAUUGAACCUGGUUCACUCGUGCUGUAAAGUGUUACAGUAACUAAGUGGCUGGCUCUUUCUCCCCUCUUCCUCUUACUGCUUUAUUCUGGCUAUCUCCCCUCUGUCAUCCAGCCCAGGAUCUUGAUGUAAAAUAGUGACAGUCCAUCUCCCUCCAUAGAUGUAGCCUGACGCAUUAAGUUCCUUCACAAUCUUCUUUAUAUCUCAAAGCACUUUACCGCCAAUAAUGUACCUGUGAGGUGUAGUUAUGUAUGUAGUAUUGAGGAAUAUUUGUUGGGGAGGAUGCACUACAUUAUGGUCAUAAAAUUAUAAGCUAAAUUGAAGGACAAAUACAUUACAGAUAUAUAUUUAAUAUUUCAGUAAUAUUUGAGUAAUAUUGGAAGUAUAUUGUUGAUAAAUCAUUCUUUGUUGUUUAAUUCAUUAUGGGCUAUAUAUAAGAGUAAGUGAAUGGUCUACGUCAUCAUACCAUGUUUGCAUUUCUCAUGAAAAGUAAAUGUAAUGCCCUGGAUAAAAUAUCUACUGCUAUGCUGUAGGUUUUAUCAGUUUUCUGCAAAAGCAAUGUGUCCUGCUGGUAGAAUGUUUUGGUUUGGGCUAAAAAUAAGAAGCCCUGCUGUUCAACUUAAAAAUGUGGUGUCAGCCAAACAGGAUGGUGGGGUCUGGAGAAAGUUCUAGAGAAAGCAGGAUGGAGGGAGUUUUCUGACAGACAGUAGUCCGUUCUGGGAUCUUUCAUUGGGACCUGCGGAGUGGGACAAAAGGAAGAUGCCACUGGAUGCUGUUAGAACGAGAGUUCCCAUUGUAAGAAGUACUUUGUGCUGAUGAAUGGUUCCAAGGAGGGAGGACAAUAUCCCUGAGAGGGAGAGCCAGUUUGCUCAAGAUGGUUUUUGAGGGGAGUUGGAAAAUAUGGUGGGUGUCUUCACACAGACUGAGGGUCCAGCAAUAAGAGAAACACCCCGGAAUACUCCAGUAUGAGCUCCAAUGGUUAUAUGAACAUUUGGCUGGUUUAACUGUAACGGGCCCUUUUCUUUUCUUUUUCCUAUUAACUGUUAGAUAAAACUGUAAUUAGUAAGUAUAUUUUCUUUAUAGUAUUAUGCAGUGUACAAACUGUUAUUCCUUGCUGACUGAUAAUUGUGCGUGGACAGUGAUUACACAGCAUUUGCUCAAAUCGCGGUUCCUUUAAUCGGAACACCUAUUUGGUUGAACCCAAAUCAUAUCGACUCUAGACAUCUAUUGUUUAUGAAAGGUCACCUUCUCACCGCUGAGUCACAUGACUGUUGGCAGAGUUAGUCAACAAGCCAAGUCUGUACAUGAGCCAUGGUGAGGGGGUUGCAUAAAGAGCAAAGUUUAUUCCUGGCUCCGUGUUUCUCUUUCGAAUAGUUUUAUGUUUUGGAGUUACAAAACAUAAAAAGAGGCUGGUAAGUAGCAUGGAGAUCAUUUAUAUAACAUGACUCACACAGAUCCCCAGCAUACAACAAAGGACACACUAUUCACAGAAUAGCGACUGGAGAUAAUACAUUUGCAGUUCAUUUAUGCACAGUAAGGAGUCACCAAGGAAUCCCUUCGUGAUGAAGAAAUAAUCUGUCUUGGGCUAAUUACUGAUGAGGCUCUCCUGUUCUUUAGAAUAACUCUGUCAGAUGCUCUAACCUCCACCCAGCAGGUCCAAUCUGCUCUCAGUCUGUUGUUUGAUCCCAACGCCUGACAUCACGCACCCUCAUGGAGCACAACAACAACAGCCAAGGCAUCCUAUGGACUUCGAAACAGACAGCACAUCCCUCCAUUGAGGCAUCUUGAAAGGGUGGUGCCUCAAGAAAGCAUCACCGACCAUUAAGGAACCUCACCACCCAGGACAUGCCCUCUCUGCGUAAUUACCAUCAGGGAGGAGGUACAGGAGCCUGAAGACACACACAAUGUUUUAGGAUUGGCUUCUUCCCCUUGGCCAUCUUUGAACCCUUGAACACUACCUUAUGAUUCUUUUUUUGCACUAUUUAUUUAUUCAUCAAUUAAUUAAUUUCUCUGUUUAAUUUUUGAAGCUUCUAGUAAUAUUAACAUCUUGCCCUGUGCUGCUGCACAACAAUUUGCACGACAUUUGUAAGUGAUAAUAAACCUGAUUCUGACUCUGAAUAACAAGCUAUUGAUUUCAGAGCCACUUACUCCCAGACAGCUUCACAUCAUUUUCUGGACAGUGAGAGAGGGAGGGGAUAUUGGGCUGGGGCGCUGUGAAAUGGCACGGUGGCGAACCCGGACCAGGGUCGUGUGGAGUGGCAUGAUGUGGCAUGGCAUGGUUGAGAAAUCUGUUGUUCUGUGUCAGCAGUACAGUGCAGGUGUAACACAUUUCUGUAAGUUACAAUAAAUCAUAGUGCAAAAGAUAGAUAGUGAGAUGGUGUUUCUGGGUUCAUGGACCAUUCAGAAAUCUGAUAGCGAGGAAGACACACCGCCUGUUGAAGAUGUCCUCCAUGGUGGGGAGGCUUGUGCCUGUGACGGACUCUUCACCAUUAGCAGUGAAUCCUCACUGAGUAAGGAAUUCAAGGGAUAUGAGGAAAGGCAAGUAAACAAGGGUGAAAUACCGGCCAGCCAUAUUUAACGGGAGCCUCCUCCUCUCCUUCAUAAUUCACUGAUUGUUCAGCACAGCAUCAUUCCAAAAUCUAGCUCCAGCCGCUGGGAUGAGGUGAGGUGCUUCCUGUGAGCCUUUAGCUUUUUGUUACAACGAUAACUAUGAACAGAGCGGUACAGCUCAGUACAGGCCCUUCGACCCAUUAUGUUGUGCUGGACCUUUAACUUACUCCAAGAUCAAUUUAACUCCUCCUUCUCAUCUGACCUGAUAAUUACACCCUCUGGUAUUGUCCAUUUCUGCCCUGAAAGAACGCACUGGCUGCCCACUCUAUCACAGCACCUUGAACAAAUCACCUCUCAUCCUCCUUCUCGCCAGAGGGAAAAACCCUACUUUGCUCAAUCUAUCCUCAUAAGACAUGCUCUCCAAUCCAGGCAGCAUCCUCUCAGCAGUCCCUCUUUGUGAUGGUUAAAGUCACAGAGAAUAAGGUGACUGGAAAACUUAAGUCACCAUAAAUUAUGGACUUUAGCAAGGCCUUUGAU